rnacentral:rRNA from 1 species
GAUGAACGCUAGCGGCGGGCUUAAUACAUGCAAGUCGUGGGGCAGCAUGAAUGUAGCAAUACAUUUGAUGGCGACCGGCAAACGGGUGCGGAACACGUACACAACCUUCCUAUAAGUGGGGAAUAGCCCAGAGAAAUUUGGAUUAAUACCCCGUAACAUAACGAUGUGGCAUCACAUUGUUAUUAUAGCUUCGGCGCUUAUUGAUGGGUGUGCGGCUGAUUAGAUAGUUGGCGGGGUAACAGCCCACCAAGUCUACGAUCAGUAGCUGAUGUGAGAGCAUGAUCAGCCACACGGGCACUGAGAAACGGGCCCGACUCCUACGGGAGGCAGCAGUAAGGAAUAUUGGUCAAUGGACGCAAGUCUGAACCAGCCAUGCCGCGUGAAGGAUUAAGGUCCUCUGGAUUGUAAACUUCUUUUAUCUGGGACGAAAAAAGGCUUUUCUAAGUCACUUGACGGUACCAGAUGAAUAAGCACCGGCUAACUCCGUGCCAGCAGCAGCCGCUGUAA